UCCAAGGCUAAAUACUCCUGACUGACCGAUAGUGAACCAGUACCGUGAGGGAAAGGCGAAAAGAACCCCGGCGAGGGGAGUGAAAAAGAACCUGAAACCGUGUACGUACAAGCAGUGGGAGCCUCUUUAUGGGGUGACUGCGUACCUUUUGUAUAAUGGGUCAGCGACUUAUAUUCUGUAGCAAGGUUAACCGAAUAGGGGAGCCGAAGGGAAACCGAGUCUUAACUGGGCGUUAAGUUGCAGGGUAUAGACCCGAAAC
rnacentral:rRNA from 1 species